rnacentral:RNase_P_RNA from 1 species
ACUGCGGGCCGGGUUAUCGCUCCCGGGAAACCGGGGGAGGAAAGUCCGGACAGCAUAGAGCGACACACCGGUUAACGGCCGGUCCCGUAUCAACUACGGGAAGAUAGUGCCACAGAAAAUUACCGUCCUGCUUUUUUGAGCAGGAUAAGGGUGAAAACGUGAGGUAAGAGCUCACGAUCCCGGUAAGUAAUUGCCGGGAUGGGUAAACCUUGUGUGCUGCAAUGCCAUGUAUAUCCCGAUUCAUACGGGACUUGGGAUCACUCCCGGUUCCGGUGAAGUAAGCGGCUCGUUUAUAUUUCCGUGCAUUCGGGAAAUCGGGAAGGGUAGGCAGCAAGAUUGUUGCAGUAAUGUAACAGCCAGAUAAAUGAUAACCACUCCUUUCCUGGUUUCCAGGAUUGGGGAACAGAAUCCGGCUUACAGGCUCGCAGGAACU